rnacentral:rRNA from 1 species
GAUGAACGCUGGCGGCAAGCUUAAUACAUGCAAGUCGAGGGGCAGCAUGACUGUAGCAAUACAGUUGAUGGCGACCGGCAAACGGGUGCGGAACACGUACAGAACCUUCCUUCGAGCGGGGAAUAGCCCAGAGAAAUUUGGAUUAAUACCCCAUAGUAUACCGGAGAGGCAUCUCUUUGGUCUUAAAGAUUUAUCACUUGAAGAUGGCUGUGCGGCUGAUUAGAUAGUUGGUGAGGUAGCGGCUCACCAAGUCUGCGAUCAGUAACUGGUGUGAGAGCACGACCAGUCACACGGGCACUGAGACACGGGCCCGACUCCUACGGGAGGCAGCAGUAAGGAAUAUUGGUCAAUGGACGAAAGUCUGAACCAGCUAUGCCGCGUGGAGGAUGAAGGCCCUCUGGGUUGUAAACUUCUUUUAUAUGGGACGAAAAAGGGACUUUCUAGUUCAACUGACGGUACCAUGUGAAUAAGCACCGGCUAACUCCGUGCCAGCCGCCGCCGUAAUAC